UGAACGCUGGCGGUAUGCCUAACACAUGCAAGUCGUACGAGAGUUUUUAACUCUAGUGGCGGACGGGUGAGUAACACGUGAGAAUUUGCCUUUAGGAGGGGGAUAACAAUUGGAAACGAAUGCUAAUACCCCAUAUGCUUUCGAGUGAAAUGGAUUUAUAUUAUUCGCCUAAAGAGAAGCUCGCGGCUGAUUAGCUUGUUGGUAAGGUAAGAGCUUACCAAGGCGACGAUCAGUAUCUGGUUUGAGAGGACGAUCAGACACACUGGAACUGAGACACGGUCCAGACUCCUACGGGAGGCAGCAGUGGGGAAUUUUCCGCAAUGGGCGAAAGCCUGACGGAGCAAUACCGCGUGAGGGAAGACUGCCUAUGGGUUGUAAACCUCUUUUUUCAGGGAGGAAUAAAAUGACGUGUACCUGAAGAAUAAGCAUCGGCUAACUCC
rnacentral:rRNA from 1 species